UCUGCUCCAUACAGUCAUUCAGGAAUUCAGAUUCCUUCCACAUUGUGAUUUAAGGAAUUCUCUUUUAGAGUUAGGGUUGUGUCUACUCAGAUCAGUGGAAAAUUGUAACAUGUGGUCAUAUGACCAAAAAUGAAGGUAGAUAUUGGUUCCGUCAUAGUCUGAUGAGUCUGAGAAUUAUACCCAUUAAAUUCUGAGUUCCCAGAGGAUAGAAACUCUGAAAUAACCUAGUACCAAGCCAAGCCCAGUGAAAGUGCUCAAUGAAUGCUAAAGGAAGAUACAAGAGAGUGGCUGAAUGAGAUUCCAGUGCUAAGGAAGUUCUACAUGGCAGGAGAUUUGAUUCCAUCAGUUUGGGUAGAGCGGCACAGAGAGAGACGGAUCCCUGACCCAAGACUUGAAAGAUGAGGAACAGAUCACCAGGUGGAGAAGAUGGAGAGGGAAGGAGUUGGAACCACAGGAGAGUCUGAACCAAGACGUUCCCUUAGUCUCUUCCUCCCUCCUGUGGAUGGAUAUAAGCCGAUACCCCUGCUAUUCCGGGCUCCUCCAUGACUAAAGGCAUCAGUAUCCACAGAGCCUUGCACACAUCUCAGCCCUUCAAUACAGGACCACAGAGCUGACUGCAGGUCUCUUUACAUAGUUUGAAGACCCAGAGAGAAGGAGGCUUACAACGUAACUCCAAAUUGAGGUCCUGAACCAGAGCAAGAAACUUCUAACUUCUCACUCAGCAGAAAAUGCUCAUAGUUUAGCUUCUCUCUCUCAAGGGAUCAGAGAAUCUGGGGGACAAGAGUGGGCUGCUAGGGUCAGAGACAAAGAGGUGGAUGGAAGGGUCCUUACUGUUACACAGAGCAGCAUGGGUCCUCGGAUGAUCCACCAGAUUUUCUUAUUCCCAUUUGUUGUCCAGCACCUAAGGUCAAAGAGCAGGCAAAAGAAGACUUAAAAACAAGAGGAGGUUGAAAGUCAAAGUCUCAUGCUGUCUAGAAGAAGGAUGCUUGCACUCAAGCCCUACUUCCCACCAAUCAUUCCCCCGAGGGGUGGGAGCUGCAGAAGAGAGAACUAAAAUCCCUUCCCGUUAGCACUGGUACCAUUUACUUUCCUUAACAUUAAAUUGCUCUUCAGUGGUAA